rnacentral:rRNA from 1 species
AUGGCGAUGGCCGCCGACUCGCCCUCAUCGUCGUCGUCGUCGGGCAUGGCGAGAAGGCUGGCUCACCACCACCAGGCCGUGCUCGGCUUCCUGCUCGGUCUCUUCGUCAGCCUCGUGCUCUACACCACUAUGUCUGGCCAGUUCGGGUCGACCAAGAGCGUUGUCGUUCCGCAGUCAAUGUCCGGCAAGCGUGCAGAACAAAAUGUCAGGACUUCUCCUCCUCCAGUGUCGUCGGCGCCUAACAAUUCUAUUCAAGGUAACGUGCAAGUGAAUACAACAUACCAGUUAGACCAAACAGUAAAUGAUGCUAGUGACAAGAUGAAGGGAGAGCUCAUUCGGCAAGAACUCAAUCAAGACGGUGAUGGGAAUGACGAUGGAAGCAAUGUCAAACAUGGUGCUCCACGCAAGCCCAUCUGCGUCCUAACAGACCCUAGGUACGACAUCUGCGAGAUCUCCGGCGACGGCCGUGCACUCGGCGCAAACCGUACCAUCCUCUAUGUUCCGCCCGCCGAGGAGCGCGGCAGCGACGGCCCGGAGUGGGCCAUCAAGGACCAGUCCCGCAAGUACCUGAGUGACAUCAAGGAGGUGAAUGUCAAGACCCUGAGCGCCGCCCAGUCCUUGGUGGCGCCGGAGUGCACCUCUCGGCACACUGUCCCGGCCGUCGUGUUCGCCAUGAAUGGGAUCAUAGGCAACCCGUGGCACGACUUCAGCGAUCUCCUACUGCCCCUCUUCAUCACCACCCGCGCCUACGAGGGUGAGGUCCAGUUCCUCGUCACCGAGCUCCAGCCGUGGUUCGUGGACAAGUACCGCCUCAUCCUCACCAACCUGUCACGCUACGACAUCGUCGACUUCAACAAGGACAUUGGUGUCCGGUGCUACCCGCACAUCAUAGUCGGCCUCCGCAGCCACGGCGACCUCAGCAUCGACCCGGCCCGCACGCCGCAGAACUACACAAUGCUGGACUUCCGCCUGUACAUGCGGGACAUCUUCUCGCUGCCAUGGGACGGCCAAGGAAUCCCGUACAAGGAGAAGGCCAACAAGAAAAACGCAACCGGCGGCAUCGAUGAUGGCACGGAGAAACAAAAGCCGCGGCUCAUGCUCAUCAACCGCGGCUGGAACAGGAAGUUCGUCAACCUUCCAGAGAUCUCCGCGGCGGUGCAGGCCGCCGGGUUCGAGUUGCUGGUCGUGGAGCCGCUCCGUGACACGAGGCUAGAGGAAUUCUCUCGGGAGGUGGACUCGUGCGACGUGCUGAUGGGCGCGCACGGGGCCGCGCUCACAAGCUUCUUCUUCCUCCGCACCAACGCAGUCAUGCUGCAGGUGGUGCCGUGGGGCUUGAAGCGCGAGGCCAUGAUUUACUUCGGCGUGCAUGUCAAGGAGAUGAUGUUGCAGGACAUCGAGUACAGCAUCACCGUCGAGGAGAGCACGCUCUAUGAAAAGUAUGGCAAGGACCACCCGGCGAUACGUGACCCAGACUCGAUACAUAAGCAGUGGUGGCAGGGUGCAAGGAAGUACUUCUGGGAGGAGCAGGACAUCAGACUCAACGUCAGCAGAUUUGCUCCCACGCUCCACCAGUUGCUUCAGACGCUCAGGGAAUAG